rnacentral:SRP_RNA from 1 species
UGNCGGUCCCCUCGCAAUUGAAUAUUUGUGAACCCCGUCAGGCCCGGAAGGGAGCAGCGGCAGCAAUUGUUUGAUGUGCCGGGGAGGGGCUGGCAGGG